rnacentral:rRNA from 2 species
UACGUAGGUGGCAAGCGUUGUCCGGAAUUAUUGGGCGUAAAGGGAGCGCAGGUGGGAAUAUCAGUCUGUCUUAAAAGUUCGGGGCUCAACCCCGUGAUGGGAUGGAAACUAUAUUUCUUGAGUGCAGGAGAGGAAAGUGGAAUUCCUAGUGUAGCGGUGAAAUGCGUAGAUAUUAGGAGGAACACCAGUGGCGAAGGCGACUUUCUGGACUGUAACUGACACUGAGGCUCGAAAGCCAGGGUAGUGAACGGG